GCCCGCGGUGGUCACCCUGAGCUCUGGGGCGGAGGCGCGCGCGGGGCGGGGGCUGUACCUCAGGUCCCGGACUGCCAGCCCCUUUGUUCACGCGCGGCCAGGUUCUCGGGAGCCCCAACCUCGCCACUGUCGCCCAGCCCCUCGGGGUUCCCGGGGUUUAAGGGACAGCACAUCUUUCCUCUACGACAGGAAAACUCUCCCCGGAGCUCCAAUGCUUUUCACGAAAACCCGCCACAGGGUGGCCUCCUCUGUUUGUUUUUUCCCCAUCUCAUAAUUAUUUUACGGUUACCAGAUUUCAUGCUCAUUAACAGAGACUCGCAUAAUGUGCACACGGACAAUAUAGAAUGUGCUCUGGCCACUCCGAACUGAUCGCUGCUCCCUUGGGUCCAAGCUACGCAUGAUGUUACAGACAGAGUCUUCCUAUAUAGCCCUGGCUGGCCUCGAACUCCAGGUGAUCCUCCUGUCUCAGCCUCCGGUGUGCUUGGAUUACAGGCGUGUGGUGUCAUGCCUGCAGCUUCUUUUUGAGAAAGGGAGAAGGAAUUGAAUUUAGGACCUCGCACUUGCCAGGCAGGUGCUGUGCUGCUGAGCUGUAUCCCUGGCCCUGUUUCGCUUGUAUGGAAAGGGUUUCACUAUGCAGUUCAGGCUGAACUUGAACUCACUUUGUAGCCCAGGCUGGCCUUGAACUUGAAGCCAUCCUCCUGCCUCAGCCUCCCAAGUGCUGGAAUUACAGGUGUGCACAUUGUACCUGGGUUUUGUAUCACUUUUAGGCAAGUGAUUGUGCCACUGAGGUAUAUCCCUUGUAUCACUUUUAAAGGUACAGUGUAAUCUUUGUCACAGUUAGCAACUGCACUCCACUGAAAAAUUGUACACUUUUCAAAAUACUACCUUCAUUUAAUAUUCAUGCUUUUGUGCCUUUGAGAAAAUAUUUUUUGUUAUUUUUUGUGUUAUAGAACUAUUAUAUAAUUCUAAGUGUUUAGGCUUACUUGACAUAAAAAUAUCAUUUCUCUUUGUCACUUUAUUUCCUUUCAUAUAGGUGAAGUUAUUGAAACAGUAAUGUACAAAUGGGUUCAUCAAUCUACCUAUUACAAGUACAUUCUUACUCCCUAAGACACUGAAGUAGACAUGUCAAAUUUUUCUGAGUAUUGUGAACAGUGCUUUUUUGAUGGAAUUCACACCGUUUGAGGUGUCAACUUGUGCCACAUACAUCAAACUUUGUGGAAAGCAGUUUUAACUUUUUGAAGAAUAUCUUCAUCAACAUUUAAAAAAAACAAAUGUGUAAGCCGGGUGUGUUUUGUUGGAGGGAACUGCUGAGUUCCCAGAGCUAAGGGAGGCCAUGCCCAUGCCCCUACCAUAUUUCAGACCUUGAAAGAAGAUUUUGGUAAAAAUCUCCGAAGAACCGAUGACAAUUCCCAAAAGAUGGAGAAUUAGCUUUAGACCCCUAUUAGACUCAGAGAGAACCAGGUCAGAGAAGCCUUGGUCCUCUGCCCCUCCCCCUCAAGGGCUAGGGGAGGGGGCACAAACAUGCCCAGUUCCUGCUGGGUGAUUCCACCUGGAAGCUGUCCUGAACCAGGAAAGGGAGAUAUGAAGAAGAAUCCCUCAAACUGGUAAUGCUGAUUAUGGGAGUGACUGUGUUUAUGACUUUGAGAACCUAGAAGACUAUCUCUUGGGGCUGAGGGUGUAGUUCAGUGAUCAAACACUUGCCUAGCCAGUGUUAGGCCCUGAGUUCCAUCCCCGACACUAUACAUACAUGCACACACUCACAUACGCAUACAGACACACACAUACACGCUGAGCUGGAAAGUCUUAGGGCUCACUGGAAUAUUUAUGUGGAACUAGGGUUCAUUUAUUCAGGGUAUUAGGGUUCUGCAAAGAAACAGAACCAAAUAGGGUGUGUGUGUGUGUGUGUGUGUGUGUGUGUGUAAAUUAGCUCAUGCAAUUAUAAAGGCCAACAAGUCCCAAGAUGUGCAGGGUGAGCUGUUAAACUGGACACCCAGGAGAGUCAAUAGGGUAGCACCAGUUCAAGGGCAAAAGUUGGAGACUCAGGAGAGUGGGUGGUGUAGUACCAGUCCAAAUAACAGCAGGACAGAGACACAGCAAGAGCUGUGUUUCAGUUCGAGUUUGAAAACAGGAAAAACAAAAACAAAAAUAAAAAAUGCCCCGGCUCCAAGACAGGUGAAAAACAUAAAGACAUUUCCUCUUAUUUGGAGAAUGUCAGCCUUUCUAUUCUAGUCAAGCUUUCAACUGAUUGGAUGAGGCCCACCUACAUUAAGAAGGACAAUUUGCUUAACUCAGUGUAUUUUUUUUUUUUUUUUUGGUCUUUUUCGUUUUUAUCGGUACCAGGGAUCGAACUCAUGAGUGCCUGCUUGCAAGGCAGGCGCUUAUGCCGCUGAGCUAAAUCCCCAGCCCCUAUAUAUGUCUUUUUUUUUUGUCUAACUCAGUCUAUUUGUUAAUCUCACCCCAAAACACUCUCACAGAAACACCCAGAAUGUUUCACAAAAUACCAGGAUACUUUGUGGCCCAAUCAAGUUGACAUAUAAAAUAAUGUCCCUGAGUGGUUUUUUUUUUUUUUUUGGUGCAAGGAUGGAAUUUACAACCUCAUGCUGGCCAGGCAGGCACUGUCCUGCUGAACUAAAUCCCUAGCCCUGGAUUUUUCUUUUUUUAUACAGGGUUUCAGGAUGGCCUUGAACUUAGUUUGUAGCCUAGACUGGCCUUCAACUCGCAGCAAUCUUCCUGCCUCAGCCUCCCAAGUACUGAGAUUCAUGAGUGUUCUACUCAUCUAGUAGAUGCUGUGAGAACAGGCUCAGGACCUUAGAUGGGUCCUCUGAGUGUAACCCUGUCCUUGGGCUACCCUGUCCCCACAUUCAUUCCUCAACCAGUCUCCUCCUGUCCUCCUCUUCAGUCUUGACACAUGGUCAGUAUCUUCCCGGCUAAAAACUUGAUGCUCUGUCCUUUGAGCUGCAGGCAGCGCCCCUCCCGCCCUGCAGCAGCUCCAUCAGAGCCCUGGUGACUCCCUGAUGGACAUGUGUCGCCCAGAGGGAACUCCUCCUCCAGGCUGAGAGGCACAGCCCCCUUUCCCAAAACAGCCUAUGAUUGCUUUACCAUCCACGACCCCAUCAGCCGGCUAGGUUCCCAGGCUGCAUUGAGUGACUUAGCUUGGGCGUGACAAUCCACAGAACUAGGUCUUGCUCUUUCCUUUUCCCUACCCAAGCUCGGAGCAUGGGCCCUGAAAGACUUCCCUUGUACCCCAUAGUUCUAGCACUUGCAAAUCUCCAGCAGGUUUUUUUUUUCCUUUUUCCUUUUUAUCGGUACCAGGGGUCGAACUUACGACUGCCUGCUUGCAAGGCAGGUGCUUUUGCCGCUGAGCUAAAUCCCCAGCCCCUCCAGCAGGUUCUUGAAGGCAGCCAGGGUUCAACCCUUCCAGGCUGGAUGGAGAAAUUAAAUAUUUACGAGACUUGGUCUCUACCCUGGGGAGAAAUAAACCCAUAAUCACUAUCUUGUGUUGUGUGCCUCAUAAUCCAGAACGAAUCACAGGCUGGUGCGCAUGCGCGCGCCGCAGCCCUGCCGGAAGUAGCUCCCCAGCCCCCACCAGUGAGCGCCCUAGAUGCUACUGCUGGCACUGUGACACAAAGGGAGGACUUUCAGCGAAAAGCUGUAAGGAGCAAGGCGAGUAGGGAGGAAAAAAGAAGGCAAGCAGGGAUGCGGCCUUAGCCAUCGGAUCCCACCCGAACAGACCUAGUCCGGGGCAGGCUGGGCGGGCCCUAGCGCUCGGGUGUGUCCCGCUGCGGGGCUCUACUUGCUGAGGCUGUGCUGUAUUUAGCAGUUUUGCAUUUGUGUUCCUAAGUGACUUCGGCCUAUUUCUUUCUCAUCUCGUUAUUGCCCUUGUCUCAUUUGGAUAUCGGAUACUAAUAGCCCAUAAAAAUGAACUGGGUAUUAAGUCCGGCGCGUGAUUUCCGCGCUCACGCGUUUGAGGCAGGAGGAUCGCCCCGAGUUCAAACUCAGCCUCAACUAAGACCCUGUCUCAAAAAACAAAAACAAAAAAACCAAAAAGAAUUGAAUAAGCCAGUCUCGGUAACACAUGACUGGGAUCCUACACUCUGGAAGGCUGAGGCAGAAGGAUCAGAAAUUCUAGUUGCAGCCUGGGGAAUUUAGCGAUUUGGUGAAACCCUGCCCCAAAAGGGGGUGGGGGAGGGGAUGCAGCUCUGCGUGAAGGCCCUGAGUUCAAUUCCCAGCACCACCAAGAACAAAAGAAUUGGGUACUGUAGCUCUACUUCCUUUUCUUCCUUCCUUCCUUCUUCUUUUUUUUUUUUUUUUGGUCUUUUUCCUUUUUAUCGGUGCCAGGGAUCGACCACCUGCUUGCAAGGCAGGUGCUUAUGCCGCUGAGCUAAAUCCCCAGCCCCAUCUUUUAUUUUUUUUGAGAUAGGGUCUCACUCUGUAGUUCAGACUGGCCUUAAACACUAUGUAGCCCAGCAGGAUGGCCUCAAACUCAGGGUAACCCUCUUGCCUCAGCCUCCUGAGUGCUGGAAUUACAGGCCUGGGCCACCACACCCAGCUUCUUUCAAUUUUCUGUAGCAGUUUAUAUCAGGUGGGAUUUCCUAUUUUUGAAAAUUAGGUAAAACAGGUCUAUGAAAUUCUCCCUUCUUUCCUUCUUUGGAUGAUAGGAUGGGGGCGUUUAGAGAGAUACUUGGCUUUGUUUUUCUUUUUAAAACAGUUCGAGACCAGCCUAGGCUACAAAGUGAGCUUAAGGCCAGCCUGAAUUGCACAGUGAGACCCUUCCUGUCUCAAAAAGACACAAAACAAAACAAAAAAACAAAACAGGUCUCACUAUGUAGUUCAGGCUGGUCUUGAACUCGUGACCCUCUGGCCUCAACCUCCUAAAGGCUAGGAUUACAAGCAUGGGCCACCAUGCUCAGUUUAAUAUUCUGUCAUUUGCUAAUGUUAUUUUAUAUCAAGAUUGUCUCUUUCAUCUAAUAUUCCAAAUGUAUUGGCAUACAGUUAUGCAGUAAUCAUAUGUGAUUUUCCUAUCUCUUUCCUCUUCAACACACUGACCCCUGCUCCGUCCUGUGCCACAAAACCUGCAUGACAACUUCAUAGUCAUAAUAGAAAAUGCCAACCCUGAAGCGACAAUAAAUAUGCGUUGUCCAAGCCGGGGAUUUAGCUCAGCAGCAUAAGCACCUGCCUGGCAAGUGUGAGGUUGUGAGUUCGAUCCCCGGGGCCAUUAAAAAAAAUGCAUUGUCCAUUUACUGGUAAGACUGGGUGUGUUUCCCAGCUAUAGAGAGAAAGUCACCAUUCUUAGGUCUUGUAAAGGCCUUUUAGUUCAGAUUUCAAUACCUCACCUCAUCAGAAACAAAUCUGCAUAAAACACUGUGUGUGUCAAUAAUCCCAGAGAUCUAGAGGCUAAAACAGGAGGAUUGCCAGAAAUUCAAGGCCACCCUAGGCUGGGCUACAUAAUCAGUUCAAGUCCAUCCUGGAUUAUAUAUCAAGACCCUGCUUUGUUUUGUAUUUAAGACAGGGUCUCUGUAGUUCAGGCUGCCUCAAAUUUAAGGUGAUUCUCCUGCCUCAGCCUCCAGAACACUAGGAUUACAGGCGUAAUCUUAACACAUCUGGCUCAAAACUGUUUAAAAAAUAAUAAUCAAGUUAUAUCGUGUACAGGUACAAAUUCUCUAUGAUGAAUAUGAUCAUUAUGUAUAUUUAACACAUACCACAUGGUGCCGGGGAUAUGGCUCAGCAGUGUAACACCUGCUUAGCAAGCUUGAGGUGCUGAGUUCAAUUACUGUUACCCCCCAAAAAUGUACCAAUUAAACCUGAUUAAAAUAAAUAGGGCUGGAGACUUAGUUCAGUGGCACAGUGCCUGUCUGGCAAGCACAAGGUCCUGAGUUCAAUUUCUGGUACCAAAAUUUUAAAAAAAAUUUUAAAUAAAUAAAUAAAAUUUAAAACUAAAAACAAAAAAAGUCCCCCUAGACUGGAGUCUAAAUUACUUGGCCAGGUGCUCAGAUCUAAGAAAUCUGUGCUCCCUAAGCCACCGUGCCCAUUACUAAAUUAGAGGCAGGGACAACACCAGAGACCAGGGUAUCCUUCAAGGGCAGAGGGCACCUAUGGUAAGGUAGGAAGUUGUGUGCCAGUCAUUGGAAUCCUGCUGUAGAUACAAAUAGGGAGUAAUUGGCUGAGAGGAGAAUCAGACCAGGCCCAGACUCAGGAAGGAAGGGCUAAGGCAAAAGCUGCAGAGUGUUUUAGGAGACAGAAAGUGCUGGAUGAAAGGUAAAAUCAGUUGUACAAAUGUACAGGGGCAGGACACACUACAGGAUGCAGAAUGUCAGGGGAUCUUGCCUAGGAAACCAUGUCAUUCUGGACUAUAGACAUAGCAGGGGAAAGUGCCUGCUUGCUGGCCUCAUAUAUAAAACAGGAGCUAAACUCACAUGGGCUAUAGGCUGGGGGAGAAGCAACAGGGAUGACUGAUACUCUUCCACAUACCAGUAUAUUCUUGUGUACAAGAAUACGUUCUGAGUUGGGCACGGUGGUUCACAUCCAUAAUUCAUUCCAGUAUUGACAAGGCUGAGGCAGGAGGAUCACAAAUUUAAAACCAGUCUGGGAACUGAGCAAGUCUCAAAAAAUAAAUAGGACUGAGGACAUACUCAGUGGUGCUGAGACAGGAGAGCAGGCCAUGGCUGGAAAGUGGGCAUGACCUGUCAAUUAUAAGAUCCUGGACACACGCACAGAAUAGUUCCCAAAGCCUAGUACUUGGGCUUUUUGUAAGAACUCAAGCAGUUUUUGAGUUUUGUUUUUUGGGUUGCUGUUGUUGUUCGGUCUAUCUUUUUGAGACAGUGUUUCACUAUGCAGUUCAGGCUGGCCUCCACUCGAAGCUUACAGUGAUCAUCUUGCCUCACACUCCCAAGUGCUGGGAUUACAGUUGUGCACCCCACCUGGCCACGUCAUCUAAUUGAAAACCUGCUCAGGCCAGGCGUGAUGGCACAUGUCUGUAAUUCGAGCACGCAGCAGGCUGAGGCAGGACAAACAGCUGCAUUUGAGGCCAGCCUGGGUUGCACAGUGAGUUCAAGGGCAGCCUGCACUAGACAGUGAGACCCUGUCUCUAAAUAAGCAAACAAAACAAUAGGCUGACCUAGACCUGAUGUCCGUUUGAGAAGUGGAUCCCAGCACCCCCUCUCAGAACCCAAAUAUGGAGGUUCUUGUGGGUUUUCUUGAUAUUUGGACAGUGAAAAAGGAGAGUGACCUGAAGAGCUUGUCAUCAAACUUUCCACCAUGGCGUAUGCUGUGCUUCUCAGACACAGAGUACUUUUAUUUUAACUUUUACCUUCUUUUUCUCUUUACCUGGUCCACACCCACUCGGCAGAGCCAGUUUCUGGCCUACUCUACACUGUUACUUUCUCGAAUAAACUUUGCCACUGUUUGUUAAUUUCAUCCAAUUCUUCUAGAGGAGAAGAACGUGGAAUCUAACCACAGGAGAUGCAAGCAACCCUGAACUUGGUAACGGUUAGUUGGCAAGCCGUUUUUUUUUUUUUUUUUUUUUUUUUGAGACAGGGUUUCACUAUACAAUUUGGGCUGGCCUCAAACUCUGUGAUCCUCCUGCCUCAGCCACCCGAGUGCUGGUACUACAGGUGUGAGCCACCACACCCAGUUUAAGGCAAGCCAUUUUUAGAAGCAGACUACCCAAUAACUGUGGGGUUCUUGCCUAGAAUUCCCAAGCCCCUGGGUUCCAUCCUCAGCACCACAAAUAAGCACACAAAAAUUCAUGCUGGGCACAGUAGCACUGUCCAUCUACUUAGGAGGCUGAUGCAGGAGGAUCAUUGGAGCACAUGAGUUCAAGGCCAACUAGGGCAACAGAGCAAGAUUUUGUCUCCAAAAAACAUCAAAAAAGGAAGGAAAUUCUGAAACAUGCUACAACAUAGAUAAACUUCAAAGAUAUUCUCUUCAGUGAAAUAAAUUAAACACAAAAGGACAAAUAUUAUAUGAUUAUACUCAUAUUGAAGCAGGACUUAGAGAAAGUGGAAUUUCCCAAAUUCCCCCUCCCUACUGCUUGUUCUAAUACAGAUAAAAGCAGUAACUUUUAUACCUGUAAGUAUAAUUUUAUAACCUCCUGUUCUCAUAACAUCAUUAUGCCUGAGCAGGCCACCAAGAUAAGCUACAAAACUAUUCCAGCUUGACCAACUGUCUUUGUUCUCCUUGUACCCACCUACAAGUUCUGCACCAAAGACAAGCCCUUUGAUAACAUGUAUAAAAUGGUAGUCCUUCCUUUGUUCAGGGCUCAGCCAGGUGUACAUGUAAUAAAUCCUCCUGUUUCUCCCACAGUCUCUCCAGACUAUUAAAUUCUACAACAAUCUAAGGUACCUAGAAUACUUGAAGUCAUAAAGACAGACAGUAAGAAUGGUGGCUGCCAGCCAAUGGAGGAGGCAGAGAGAAUGGAAUUUUAUACAUUUUUUUUGUCUUUUUGAAACAGGGUCUUGCUAUGCAGUUCAGGCUGUUGUUUUGUUUUGUUUUGUUUUUAGAGACUGGGUCUUGCUGCAUAAUUCAUUUUGGUCUUGAGCUCACUAUGUAACCAAGGCUGACCUUGAACUUUCAAUGAUCUUCCUGCCUCAGCCUCCUAAGCACUGGGAUUACAGGUGUGCACCACCAUGCCUAGCUCCCUCUAAUUUCUUUUAACUGAGGUCUCCUCUAACUCACCCUUAGUCUCCUCUUGGGCAACCUCUAAGACAACCCUAAGGAGGGGCCAAGGAAACACUUGUCCUUUCUUCCACGGUUGAGUUGAUGCCAGUGUGGCUAUGGCAGUGAGCCAGUUGUCAUUGACCCCUUUAGAAGCCCUUGGGAGCAAAUCUCAGUCCAUGGGCAGCUUGCUCAGGUGGGAAUCUGACAUGGUCCCCAGUACCUGGGACAACAGUCCCCUCUCUGGGCCACACAGGUAUCUCCCUAGACCUGGAACUUCUUUGUGAUUGGCUUGGGGCUGGGGGAACCUGAAAGAGUUGCUGGCCCAGACCGGACACUUUAACCAGGAGAAGCCUCAGCCAAAUUAAAGAGCUCCUGCCUCCCCCCGCCCCUAGGAAUUUACCUGUAACCCUAUACCCCCAUCCCUAAGAACCUGCCUCUGGUGCCAAAUGUGUGCCAAUGGGCUACCUGUGCAUCCCUAAUGCCCCUUGGGGUCCACCCCAGACAGAGGCUACUUAUGGGCCUCACUCUGUGUGUGUGUGUGUGUGUGUGUGUGUGUGUGUGUGUGUGUGUGUGUCGCCGGCCCUGGGGUGGAGAUGCUGCACGCCCGGUGUGUGUGUGUGUGUGUGUGUGUGUGUGCGCGUGCGCGCGCGUGAGAGUGAGUGUUCCAGAGAGAGACCGCCAGCCCCGGGGUGGAGAUGCUGCACCCCGGGGGCCGGGGGGUCUCCCCACAUUCCUGAAAUAAAGGUUACUUAUAUUUUAUACUUCUUAUCUUUGCAGCCACCGCCGCCCACUCCUUCCACGGCCCUCUUUCCCUUCCACUCCUUCCCCCUCUUCCUCUACUCUUCUCAGACCUAACAGAACCCACAGUGGCUCUAUGAUAUGUGGCCCUAUGAUAUGAUAUGAUAUGAUAUGUUCGAUGGAUUGGGGCUGGGAGCUGGGGAUAAGCCUGUCUUCUUCCAUGCCUUGGGCAGUUUUUUCCCAGUGCUGAAGAUAGCACCCAGGGCCUGGCACAUGCUGGGCAAAUGCCCUAACCUGAGCUACCCCCCUCAGUGCAGGGAGACAAUCCUCAGACCUUUAGGUCACUCCUCAGAAAGUCUCCAGUGAUAUUAAACCCCAGUUGCCGCUGGUCAUGGUGCACUUGGACUGGCUUUGUUGCCUCCCUGCCCGUCUUUCUUGUUCCUUGGGACCAUUCAUUUACAAUAAAUGAGCCACAAGGCA